GUAAUUGUUGAAUGUGUAUUACAGAUUACGGUCGUAAUAUUGUGUAAUAUUGUGUAAUUUAAAAAAAAUGUCCUUCGCUAAAUCUCUAAUUUUGUUUUUCACUAUCAUUUUAUUAAUUCAGACUAUCAGCUGUCACUGGUACGGAGGAUACGGACGAUACGGUCGCUUCGGUGGGUUCGGUGGGUACGGGGGAUACGGUGGGUACGGCUUCCCCCCUCCCGUCAUCGUGGGGGGUUACGGCUUUGGGGGUUUCUAUAGACCGCCGUUCUUCGGACGUCCGCCUUUCUUUGGUUGAAUCCAUAUUAAAAAAAAGUGUUUUUCCAUUUUUCCCUGAUUGCCGAUAUUUUUUCAAAAAAAAGUUAAUUUUUUGACAGUUUUGUGUUGAAAAUCUGUCAAAAUAUCAAUUUAAUCCGUCAGAUACUGGCUUUCGAAAAAUCAAAAAUAGGUAGAGCUUUAAAAUGGAAUUUUAAAACUUAUAACUGACAGAUAAAGUAGAGUUUUUGUCAAUUUUUGUAUUGGAAAUCUGUCAAAAUUUCAAAUUUUACAACUGAAAAACUUUAUACAAUAUGGGUAGAUGUUUUGUAAGUAAUAAUUGUGAUAUUAAUUUUUAUUAAAUAAUGCAAUGUUAUAAAUUGUUUUUUUUUUCUUCUAAUGUUAGGAAUGUAGAUUGUUACCUUGUUAUUAUUAAUAAAAGUUAUAGAAAACUGAAAAAAGAUCAGAUUUAAUAAAUAAUUGACCGUUUAUACAGGUUUGGAACCUAUAAAUUCAAAUCAAUUAGUUUUAUUUUUUUUAAUAUUCAAAUUAAGAAUAGGGCUAAACUCCUAUAUUUUCAAUUUAUAUAUUUUAAUGUAUGUAUAAUUUAUAAGGUCUUUAAUUUUGAACACUAUUUUUGUAUCCUGUUGCUCCUCUUUCAUUUAUUUUUUAUAUUCUUUCUUCCGUUAAAAAAUUGAGUAGGGUUGUAUCUUGUUGCUUGAAUUAAAAGUAGGGUAAUAAAAAAAAACAUUGCCGACAUGAUUUGUAUAAUAUAACACAUAUAUUAAAUACACAAGUUAAGUUUCUUAGCAUAAACAACUUUUUCAUAAUAAUUCUUUAAACUAUGUAAACAUUUUGAAUAUCAUCAACCGGAAACGAACUAUUUUUUUUUCUAAAAUAUAAGCAUUUUAGGCCUUUUUAGUCAAACUGUAAAUUUUCAACUGGAAACAAAUAAGAUAUCUCAUAUCUUUAACAGUGGUUACAUAUUUUUUUGGCAGAAAAAUAUCUUUUUUUUUUCGCUAUACAACUUUAAGAAAAUACUUAGACACCAUACGCUUAUCUAUAGUUUUUUAAAGAAAAAAAUGUGAUAUGCUUAUAUUUUUUUCUAUAUAACUAGGAAUAUAUUUAAAAAAAAAGUUACAUUUAUAAUGAUAUGUUUUACCUAGGCACCUAGAUUAAUCGAGUCACUUAACAUUAUGUUUUUUUAGAAUAAUCUAAGCGAAAAAUUACUCUUAUGUAUUCUAAAUUGUAUUGUAUUCUAUAAUUCAGUAAAACGACACUUUUACACAUCAAUUAUUUUUAAAAACUAUUUUUUAUAUAAAUGCCUCAGCCAGUGAUACUGAUAUGUUUAAGUUUCGAUAAUGAAGACUUUAAUUAAGUUAACCUAGUUAAUUUUAAAGGUUAAACAUGUUAAAAUUUACUAGUAAUAAUAAUAAUAACAUGGUGAUUUAACAUUCAUAAGAAUAGUUAUAACAUUUAUUAGUUUAAUAAGGUUAUUUUUUAUACUAACAACUACUCACAUCGUAAUUUCAAUAAUAAUUUGAAAUAAGUGAUAAAAAAUUUAAAUAAAAAAAAUCACGUCUCUCUACACUUUUUUGGAUUUUUCUCAAAGCUUCUAUAAUUCAAAAUUAAAGGGCAAAUCGGUGGCCGUUUUUCAAAGCGUUUGAAUUGUUUUUUUUUAUUUUUCGAAAUCGUAAAUUGAAAAUACGAUCGUUAAUAUAAAAUUGAAGGUUCUUUUAGUAACUUCUCUGUUAAAAAUAGUGUCUUUUAUGGAAAAUACAUCUAUAUUCAUAGUUAUGGAAUAUAAAAAUAUAAUAUUUUGUGCUUUGUUAAGAGGUUUUUCGUAGAUAUAGGUAACUUUUUUAAAUUAUAGUAGACUAUUACAGUAAAAUUCAAUUCCUUGACAGAAUUCCUUUCAAUCGUUUUAAGUCAAAGGUCGUAUUUUCAAAUAUUUUUCUCUACAUCGAGGAAAUACAA